AUUGAACGCUGGCGGCAUGCCUUACACAUGCAAGUCGAACGGCAGCACGGGAGCAAUCCUGGUGGCGAGUGGCGAACGGGUGAGUAAAGUAUCGGAACGUGCCCAGUAGUGGGGGAUAACGUAGCGAAAGUUACGCUAAUACAGCAUAUGAUCUAUGGAUGAAAGCGGGGGAUCGCAAGACCUCGCGCGAUUGGAGCGGCCGAUAUCAGAUUAGGUAGUUGGUGGGGUAAAGGCGCACCAAGCCGACGAUCUGUAGCUGGUCUGAGAGGACGACAAGCCACACUGGGACGGAGACACGGCCCAGACUCCUACGGGAGGCAGCAGUGUGGAAUUUUGGACAAUGGGCGAAAGCCUGAUCCAGCCAUGCCGCGUGCAGGAUGAAGGCCUUCGGGUUGUAAACUGCUUUUGUACGGAACGAAAAGGUUUGGCCUAAUAAGCUGAGCUCAUGACGGUACCGUAAGAAUAAGCACCGGCUAACUACGUGCCAGCCGCCGCCGUAA
rnacentral:rRNA from 1 species